rnacentral:rRNA from 1 species
GGCAGCGACGUUUAUGCGUUGUUGGGUAGGGGAGCGUUCUGUAAGCCUGUGAAGGUGGCCUGUGAGGGUUGCUGGAGGUAUCAGAAGUGCGAAUGCUGACAUAAGUAACGAUAAAGCGGGUGAAAAGCCCGCUCGCCGGAAGACCAAGGGUUCCUGUCCAACGUUAAUCGGGGCAGGGUGAGUCGACCCCUAAGGCGAGGCCGAAAGGCGUAGUCGAUGGGAAACGGGUUAAUAUUCCCGUACUUGGUGUUACUGCGAAGGGGGGACGGAGAAGGCUAUGUUGGCCGGGCGACGGUUGUCCCGGUUUAAGCGUGUAGGUGUGUGUUCCAGGUAAAUCCGGUUCACUUUAACACUGAGGCGUGACGACGAGGCACUACGGUGCUGAAGCAACAAAUGCCCUGCUUCCAGGAAAAGCCUCUAAGCAUCAGGUAACAUCAAAUCGUACCCCAAACCGACACAGGUGGUCAGGUAGAGAAUACCAAGGCGCUUGAGAGAACUCGGGUGAAGGAACUAGGCAAAAUGGUGCCGUAACUUCGGGAGAAGGCACGCUGACACGUAGGUGAAGUGAUUUACUCAUGGAGCUGAAGUCAGUCGAAGAUACCAGCUGGCUGCAACUGUUUAUUAAAAACACAGCACUGUGCAAACACGAAAGUGGACGUAUACGGUGUGACGCCUGCCCGGUGCCGGAAGGUUAAUUGAUGGGGUCAGCGCAAGCGAAGCUCCUGAUCGAAGCCCCGGUAAACGGCGGCCGUAACUAUAACGGUCCUAAGGUAGCGAAAUUCCUUGUCGGGUAAGUUCCGACCUGCACGAAUGGCGUAAUGAUGGCCAGGCUGUCUCCACCCGAGACUCAGUGAAAUUGAACUCGCUGUGAAGAUGCAGUGUACCCGCGGCAAGACGGAAAGACCCCGUGAACCUUUACUAUAGCUUGACACUGAACAUUGAGCCUUGAUGUGUAGGAUAGGUGGGAGGCUUUGAAGUGUGGACGCCAGUCUGCAUGGAGCCGACCUUGAAAUACCACCCUUUAAUGUUUGAUGUUCUAACGUGGACCCGUUACCCGGGUUGCGGACAGUGUCUGGUGGGUAGUUUGACUGGGGCGGUCUCCUCCUAAAGAGUAACGGAGGAGCACGAAGGUUGGCUAAUCCUGGUCGGACAUCAGGAGGUUAGUGCAAUGGCAUAAGCCAGCUUGACUGCGAGCGUGACGGCGCGAGCAGGUGCGAAAGCAGGUCAUAGUGAUCCGGUGGUUCUGAAUGGAAGGGCCAUCGCUCAACGGAUAAAAGGUACUCCGGGGAUAACAGGCUGAUACCGCCCAAGAGUUCAUAUCGACGGCGGUGUUUGGCACCUCGAUGUCGGCUCAUCACAUCCUGGGGCUGAAGUAGGUCCCAAGGGUAUGGCUGUUCGCCAUUUAAAGUGGUACGCGAGCUGGGUUUAGAACGUCGUGAGACAGUUCGGUCCCUAUCUGCCGUGGGCGCUGGAGAACUGAGGGGGGCUGCUCCUAGUACGAGAGGACCGGAGUGGACGCAUCACUGGUGUUCGGGUUGUCAUGCCAAUGGCACUGCCCGGUAGCUAAAUGCGGAAGAGAUAAGUGCUGAAAGCAUCUAAGCACGAAACUUGCCCCGAGAUGAGUUCUCCCUGAGACUUUAGGUCUCCUGAAGGAACGUUGAAGACGACGACGUUGAUAGGCCGGGUGUGUAAGCGCAGCGAUGCGUUGAGCUAACCGGUACUAAUGAACCGUGAGGCUUAACCUUACAACGCCGAAG